UACGUAGGGUGCGAGCGUUGUCCGGAAUUAUUGGGCGUAAAGAGCUCGUAGGCGGUGUGUCACGUCGUUCGUGAAAACCUGCAGCUUAACUGUGGGCGUGCGGUCGAUACGGGCAUCACUGGAGUUCGGCAGGGGAGACUGGAAUUCCUGGUGUAGCGGUGGAAUGCGCAGAUAUCAGGAGGAACACCGAUGGCGAAGGCAGGUCUCUGGGCACUUACUGACGCUGAGGAGCGAAAGCGUGGGGAGCGAACAGG
rnacentral:rRNA from 1 species